rfam:TPA: Bos taurus chromosome 2, whole genome shotgun sequence.
UCCCUGGUCGCUCAGAGGUUAUAGCAUCUGACUAGAACGCAGGAGACCCGGGUUCGAUCCCUGGGUCGGGAA